rnacentral:tRNA from 1 species
GGUGGCUCAGAGGUAGAGUGCUUGCCUUGCAUGCAUGAGGACCUGGGUUCAAAUCCUCAGCACCA